UACAGAGGUCUCAAGCGUUGUUCGGAUUCAUUGGGCGUAAAGGGUGCGUAGGUGGCGCCGUAAGUCAGGUGUGAAAUCUCGGGGCUCAACCCCGAAACUGCACUUGAUACUGCGGUGCUCGAGUACUGGAGAGGAGAUUGGAAUUUACGGUGUAGCAGUGAAAUGCGUAGACAUCGUAAGGAAGACCAGUGGCGAAGGCGAAUCUCUGGUCAGUUACUGACACUGAGGCACGAAGGCCAGGGGAGCAAACGGG
rnacentral:rRNA from 1 species